AUGAGGCAGACCAUGGGUUCUCAUUGUAAUAGUGUAGAAUGUUGGUUAACUGUGGACUCCCUGGCUCUGUCUCAA
rfam:Pan troglodytes isolate Yerkes chimp pedigree #C0471 (Clint) chromosome 7, whole genome shotgun sequence.